ACGCCAGACUCCUACGGGAGGCAGCAGUGGGGAAUAUUGCACAAUGGGGGAAACCCUGAUGCAGCGACGCCGCGUGAGUGAAGAAGUAAUUCGUUACGUAAAGCUCUAUCAGCAGGGAAGAAAAUGACGGUACCUGAGUAAGAAGCCCCGGCUAACUACGUGCCAGCAGCCGCGGUAAUACGUAGGGGGCGAGCGUUAUCCGGAAUUACUGGGUGUAAAGGGAGCGUAGACGGCGAGGUAAGCCUGAAGUGGAAGCCCGCGGCCCAACCGCGGAACUGCUUUGGGAACUGUUUUGCUGGAGUAUGGGAGGGGUAAGCGGAAUUCCUGGUGUAGUGGUGAAAUGCGUAGAUAUCAGGAGGAACACCGGUGGCGAAGGCGGCUUACUGGACCAUAACUGACGUUGAGGCUCGAAAGCGUGGGGAGCAAACAGGAUUAGAUACCCGUGUAUU
rnacentral:rRNA from 1 species